UCCCCGGCCCGUCGGUCCCCGAGGCGCCGGCGGGCUGGCCAAAGGUCACCGGUGCAGACGGGGGCCACGGGCGGCCCCUCACCACCCGCUCGGGCUCUGCCUGGGGCCUCCUCCGACCGCAGCCCGCCUGUGCGCGCCGCCGAGACCGCUGGUGCGGUGUGACCCCCUUCCCUCCCGGGACCCCCCAGCUACCCCGCUGUCCCCGGGUUCUGGCCGCCGACAUCCAGCCCAAGCUGACACGGCCCCCGCCGCGCUCCCCGCUUGCUGUGCUUGGCUUUGGAGCGCUUUUCUGUGCGUGACACCUAUUUGUUUUUCCUGAGAUUGAUUUAUUGAAAGGCAGAGUGGCAGAGAUCUUUCAUCCGUAGAUUCACUCGUCAAAUGCCUGCAACACCCGGGGCUGAGCCAGGCGCAAGCCAGGAGCCAGGGACUCAGGGUCACCCGUGUGGGUGGCAGGGGCUCAAGGGCUUGAACUAUCAGGAAGCUGGCGUGGAAGGGGAGUCGCCGGAGCUCGAACCAGGCGCUCCGAUGCGGGAUGCGGGCAUCACCGCUCGCCUCACCUGCCGCACCGCAGCGCCCACCCCAUUAACUCAUUAACUGUCCUUGUCACCGACUGGAGUGCUCCAUGGGGGCGGGGACUGUGAAAGAACCGUCCCGGAAGGAGCGAGUGGGCAGAGAACUUCCCGCGUGGGGGACCCCGCACCGGGCGUCCCGCAGCAACCCAGUGGCCAACCCUGCGAAGCUGGUUUGUGGAGAGCCGCACAGCCUACUCCAGCGUUACAGACGCGAGACAGGCACCCUGCUGCCCCCGCGCGGGUGCCGAACCCUGUUCUCCCCAGGCACCUGCAGUCGGCCUCCAUCCAGGCUGCAGUGGCGGCCACGGCGCUUUUCUUUGUCCCCGCCAGGCUCCGCACUGUGGUGCAGCCGCAGUCCUGGGACGUGGGUCCCGGGCUCAGAGCAUGUGCUCGGGGCUCGCUCCCCGUCCGCCUGCAGAUGGAGGCAGGUCUCUGCCCCGGCCUCUGCCCCAUCUCUGUCCCAGCGAGGGAAGUUCUGCGUGGUGCAGGCUUCACUUGUGAUCUUUGCCAGAGCCCAGCAGAGGGAACCCCCACCCACGACAGCGCAGGGAACACCCACCCACGACAGCACAGGGAACCCCCACCCACGACAGCACAGGGAACACCCGCCCACCCAGGACAGGGAACACCCGCCCACCCACGACAGCACAGGGAACACCCGCCCACGACAGCGCAGGGAACACCCGCCCACCCAGGACAGCACAGGGAACACCUGCCCAGGACAGCACAGGGAACCCCCACCCACGACAGCACAGGGAACACCUGCCCACGACAGCACAGGGAACACCCGCCCACGACAGCGCAGGGAACACCCACCCACGACAGCACAGGGAACACCUGCCCAGGACAGCACAGGGAACCCCCACUCAGGACAGCAGGGACCUCGAGGGUCCCCAUGUCCACCAGGAGGGCCAUGUUGUGCUCAGACCCCAGCCCGCAACCACAAGGGCUCAUUCCUGCUGUAUCUUCACCGAGGGUUGUCUGAAGCUUUGUUCUGGGACAGCUCAUUCAGAGGCCUGGACCGGUGGGGCAGCUGGGGUCAGAGGGGAUGCCCGGUGUAUGCCAGAAGGAGGUGGCCUGCACGGAGAAUGCUUGCUGGCCCUUCCGCGUCUGCUUGGCAGUGA
ensembl:lncRNA